UCAAGUUCCUCCUCAUGAUAUCAGCCAAUGACAAGCAAGUGCUCUCACUGUCUUGUACAUGUUUAAAAUGUACACUCCGCCUGACGGCUCUGCAUUUUGCAUAUCGGGUUUUUAAACACAGCGCAGUGUAAAUAAGAAUGAUAGAAAUAGAAACCGAAAGAAACAAACUGAUGACAUCGCCGCUCGAGCUUUUUAUUACGCAGAAAUGCUUUUCAUCGUAACCUUCGUUUUUCUUUUAGCUUUAUCCUGGGCUCUUCCAAAGGAUUUUGUAAUUCAGUUCGAGCGCAGAGUGUUGGUAAACGGGACGGUCGUGGAGAGGAUCCUUCUCAGUCAUCCACAUUUAAAGGGACAGUUCGACAAGCAACCUGUUGUCAGACCCAUUCAAGAUGAAGUCCUGAAAAUGAUGGUGGAGAAUGAUCAUGCUACAGCAAUUUUUGGCACAUAUAUACGUUUGAGGGAAUGCAAGAUGAGAGGUUAUCAGGUCCUGCAGCUGUCCGACCGGUUUCAGCUCAAUGGCAGAGAUUGUUUGACUUUAGAUCCAGAAAGUGAUUCGUGGACAGUGUUGAUGCCAGAGGCGCAUGAUCUAAAACAGUCAUGGACGCUUGAGCACACGAGUCUAGAGAAGGUCCACCUAAAAGAAGAAUGUGAGGAAUUCAUGAAGCAGAUGAAUGACGCCCAGGAUCAAGAAGUUUUUUCCAGUACACUUUUGGCUUGGUGUGUUAAGAGUGAUGGCUCCAGUUCUGGCCACUUUUCUCUUCAUUGGAUUCGUCUUUAUAAGCCACCUUAUCUUCAAACGACAUGGUCAACAGCCAGGAGGUGUUUUAGGCUCAGUAAUCCACUAUCCAGCCCAUCAUUUUGAUGUGCCAUUAGACGGAUAGAGUCACAAGGACAUCUCUCAAGUUCCAGUGCUGAAGGGUCAUUAUUAGCAAUCACCUAACCUGCCUGACCACAUUAAAGAGAGUCAACUCUUUCUCCUGAUUGCAAAAGUCUUGGACUGAUUUGAAAUUUCAGUAAUAAAUUUGUUCCAAUUUAUAUAUCCAGUGUAUGAAAGGAAAGGUCUUUGAUUAAAAUGACCUUGAAAGCUUAGUUAUUCAAAUUAUUUUGAUGAUAUUGUAUGCACAUAUUGUUACAAAAUGUUCUACAACAAUGCAACUAAUUGAUAUGCUACUCUUUUCUGUAUAACACAAUCUGAUUAAAUGUCAGCUAGAUAUACUUAUUUUUUUAACAUUUGUUUAAAAUGUUGUGCUUUUUUUAUUUUCUUUCACAAUGUAAAACAGCAGAUAUCAUGUUUAAAUGGAGGCUUGGGAGGGUUACUUUAAAAAUGUAUUCCGUUACAGUUACAAAUUACUUCAUAAAAAAAAGUAUUCAGUAACGUAAUCCAAGUACCACAAUAUGAAUGGGUCUCAACAAUAAAAAUAUUUUAAAAAUCUGAUAAAUUAUCUAUUGCAAUAUUAUUAUCAUUGUUGUUGUUUAGAGCUUAAAUAUAUAAAAAUCACAUCAGAUCAUAACCAAACUGAACAAACUCGGAUCAAACAUUUCUGUUCAUGUUUGUUCUGCUUUAAUUUUAAUGUUUAGCAUUUUGAUUACUUUUAAAAACUAUUAAACUAAGCAAUCAUGUCUAAUUUCCCCAACUUGGGAAUACACAGCCCUAUAUAUAUAUGUGUGUGUGUGUGUGUGUGUGUGUGUAAAGGGCUAUUCAGACAUCUAGUGGGUACAGUAUGGUAUUACAGAUUAUUGUUUUAGUCCUUUGAUAAAGAAAGUGUUUUCGUAGCUGAAAGGCAGAGUUUGCACUGUACAACCAUGUCGUUUGCAUUUUCUUCUUUGAAAACAAAAUCGCAGCGAAAUUUCGAUGAAUUGAAAGCGUUUUUCCCCGCGGGCAGCAUCGUUUCAACUAGCAGUAGUGAUUCAAUCUGCGUCUGAGAUUGUAGACGGGUGUUAUUUGCGCAUGCACCAGCGGGUGGCUCGCGCGAGUCAUCACUGGCAACAGAACCAGGAAAUACUGUAGCCUAUAAUCAAGUAGCGCUUAAUACGUGUUAUUAUGGCAAAAUAAUGAUUUAUUUAGUUUUAAAUGAAACGAUUGUAAUCCUGAUAGUAUCCCCCCUUUUUUCAAAAUGUAACUGUAAUCUGAUUAGGCUACUACGUUUUUUGACGUAACUGUAACGAAUUACAGUUACUGGAUUUUUGUAUCCUGAUUACGUAACGCCGUUACAUGUAUUCCGUUACUCCCAACCCUGUUUAAAUGUAUCUGUAUACCAAAAGAUUUUUUGUGUCUGACACUAGCUGUAAUUGUAUUGUAAAUUCUUGCAAAAAGAUCAAACCCAGCAAAUAACCAAAUCAAACUUAUCUCAUGAUAUAUUCACUGUGCUUUUUAUUUAUGUAAUAAAGAUGGAAUAAGUUUA